UACGUAGGGGGCAAGCGUUGUCCGGAAUCAUUGGGCGUAAAGAGCGUGUAGGCGGCUCGGUAAGUCUGCUGUGAAAGUCCAGGGCUCAACCCUGGAAGGCCGGUGGAAACUGUCGGGCUAGAGUCCGGAAGAGGCGAGUGGAAUUCCCGGUGUAGCGGUGGAAUGCGCAGAUAUCAGGAAGAACACCAACGGCGAAGGCAGCUCGCUGGGACGGAACUGACGCUAAGGCGCGAAAGCGUGGGGAGCGAACAGG
rnacentral:rRNA from 1 species